rnacentral:rRNA from 1 species
UACGUAGGGGGCAAGCGUUGUCCGGAAUCAUUGGGCGUAAAGAGCGUGUAGGCGGCCCGGUAAGUCCGCUGUGAAAGUCCAGGGCUCAACCCUGGGAUGCCGGUGGAUACUGUCGGGCUCGAGUCCGGAAGAGGAGUGUGGAAUUCCUGGUGUAGCGGUGAAAUGCGUAGAUAUCAGGAGGAAUACCGAUGGCGAAGGCAGGUCUCUGGGCUGACACUGACGCUCAUGCACGAAAGCGUGGGGAGCAAACAGG